AUCACUAACAUACCUCCUUCAACCACUACUACAACAACAAAAUACUUAAAAUACGACUUUUGCCUCACUCUUGUUUCACCACACACAACAUCAACAGUCCGUAAGUCGACUCCACGCUUUAUACGGAGCUCCCGAUGCUUAGGACACCGAGAAAUAUCACAAAACUUUAAAAUACUGACUAUUAGUAUUGCAGGGUGAGGCCAGAGGAGCGGAACACAUGCCGGACACGUUGUUGGUCUAUGUGGCAAGAUGCUUUUUUACGCAACGUCUCACAUCUUUGGGUAAACUGGAUUUUGCAAUGUACUUAAUUCGACUCGGACGAGAUAGCGAAGAGGCUGGUACCGGGCUGUUUCAAUUCUGUGACGUAGGACUGUGACGGAAACGAUAAUUCUCUCUCGCUCUCGCUCUCGCUCUCUCUUUUUAGGCCGUGAGACAGACUUGCAAAUUAAGGUUAACUCAAUUUUGCUGUGUACGAGAGAGAGAGAGAGAGAGAGAGAGAGAGAGAGAGAGAGAGAGAGAGAGAGAGAGAGAGAGAGAGAGAGAGAGAGAGAGAGAAUUACAUAGAAUUACAUAGAGAAUCAGACCACACAGACCCCAUGGUCCAGACAAGGUGGUCUGUCCUUAAACCUAAGUGAAUCUACACUAAUCAGAUGACUCCAAAACGUUGCUUUUCUACUUUAGUUAAUAUUAAGUUGAAGGAAGUGACGGUCGAGCUUGUUUUUAAAGGAGUCAAUCGUGUUACACUGGACCACUGACGGUGGGAGCUUAUUCCAUUCUCGCACUACAACGUUGGUGAAGAAAAAUUUGGUGCAGUCUGAAUUUAUUUGUCUACAUUUAAGUUUUAUGCCAUUGUUCCUCGUUCGCAAAGUGUCAUCGAUCAUAAACAAUUUUGUUCUGUCUACAUUCGUGAAACCAUUAAGUAUUUUAAAACAUUCGAUCAGUUUUCCUCGGAGGCGACGUUUCUCAAGAGAGAACAUGUUGAGGGUGGAAAGCCUUUCUUCGUAAGAUUUGUUGCGCAAGGAAGGGAUCAUUUUUGUUGCUCGACGCUGAACACCUUCUAAUUUAGCAAUAUCCUUUGCAUGGUGAGGAGACCAAAACUGUACCGCAUAUUCCAAGUGGGGUCUGACUAAACUAUUGUAGAGCGGAAAUAUUACAUCUUUAUUCUUGAAUAAAAAGUUUCUUUUAAUGAAGCCCAACAUUCUGUUCGCUUUAUUUGCUGCAUCGAUGCAUUGAUGUGGGAAUUUGAAGUUUGACGCGAUUUUGGCCCCCAGGUCCUUAACGCAUUGAACGCUUGUGAGUUUAACGCCGCCCAUUUCGUAAUCGAACUUCUUAUUUCUUGUUCCAACUUGAAGGACCUGGCACUUGUCUACGUUAAAGGGCAUCUCCCAUCUAUCCGACCAAGCUGAAAUUUUGUGCAAAUCCUCUUGGAGGCUUUGCCUGUCUUCGACAGUGAGAAUCGCGUUACCAGUCUGUGGAGAGAGAGAGAGAGAGAGAGAGAGAGAGAGAGAGAGAGAGUUAGCAUAUAUUAUUAUUUGACACAUGUACAAAUACCACAGACAAUUUACCUCUAAUGCCAUCACUAACAACUACAAAAAACUAUCAACCUAUCAUUAGAAGCUACAAAUGGACGCUGGUGGUCACGAUGUGCGAGUGGCUGUAGGAGAAGAGAGCAGGGGAGGGGAGGGGUCAUUGAGGAGUGCCAACCCGGAUCAUAACACCCCGCUGCGUCCCCUGCAUAGCAUAAACAUGUAGGGCACGGCGCGAAGGGAAGGGCAAGGCGAGAGGGUUCGAGGCUAACUCUUAGGUAGCUUCAAGGAAAGGUAGGUGGAAAAAGCCGUGGUGACCUAGCUUCCCGCGGGGUGAAAGGCUCCCUGGCACAAGGUAUGGAAAGUGAGCGUUUACCAAUCGGAUCUCACUCGCUUGUGCAUGUGACGCGGCGGGGGAGAGGAGGGCGGCAGCACAUACAAAUGGAUGGACCUCAGGGCGCGCGGGACAGCAGCAGGCCGCGUCUUUUAUGGCCUCCGCUGAUGCAUCCGUGGGAACAUGUGUGGAUCCCCUGCGACGUGAUAGGGUGUUGUUUUUGGUCGUACUGGGAACAUGGAAGCCGCUGAUGAUGUGUGAAUAGAGCAAAGAGGAGACGAAAAUAAGGGCACUACGUAAUAAUGACGGUAGUAGCAAUGAGAAAUAGUAACGGAGAUGGUAAUGGAAUUGCUUUUAUCGUACUGGGAACAUGGAAGCCGCUGAUGAUGUGUGAAUAUAGCAAAAAGGAGACGAAAAUAAGGGCACUACGAAAUAAUGACGGUAGUAACAAUGAGAAAUAGUAACGGAGAUAUUAAUGGAAUUGCUUUUAUCGUACUGGGGACAUGGAAGCCGCUGAUGAUGUGUGAAUAUAGCAAAAAAAAGGAGACGAAAAUAAGGGCACUACGAAAUAAUGACGGCAGUAACAAUGAGAAAUAGUAACGGAGAUGGUAAUGGAAUUGUUUUUAUCGUACUGGGAACAUGGAAGCCGCUGAUGAUGUGUGAAUAUAGCAAAGAGGAGACGAAAAUAAGAGUAAUACGUAAUAAUGACGGUAGUAGCAAUGAGAAAUAGUAACGGAGAUAUUAAUGGAAUUGCUUUUAUCGUACUGGGGACAUGGAAGGCGCUGAUGAUGUGGGAAUAUAGCAAAAAGGAGACGAAAAUAAGGGCACUACGUAAUAAUGAUGGCAGUAGCAAUGAGAAAUAGUAACGGAGAUGGUAAUGGAAUUGCUUUUAUCGUACUGGGAACAUGGAAGGCGCUGAUGAUGUGUGAAUAUAGCAAAGAAGAGACGAAAAUAAGAGUAAUACGUAAUAAUGACGGUAGUAACAAUGAGAAAUAGUAACGGAGAUGGUAAUGGAAUUGUUUUUAUCGUACUGGGAACAUGGAAGCCGCUGAUGAUGUGUGAAUAGAGCAAAGAGGAGACGAAAAUAAGGGCACUACGUAAUAAUGACGGUAGUAACAAUGAGAAAUAGUAACGGAGAUAUUAAUGGAAUUGCUUUUAUCGUACUGGAGACAUGGAAGGCGCUGAUGAUGUGUGAAUAGAGCAAAAAAAAGGAGACGAAAAUAAAUGCAGUACGUAAUAAUGACGGUAGUAGCAAUGAGAAAUAGUAACGGAGAUGGUAAUGGAAUUGCUUUUAUCGUACUGGGGACAUGGAAGCCGCUGAUGAUGUGGGAAUAUAGCAAAGAGGAGACGGAGAUAAGAGUAAUACGUAAUAAUGACGGUAGUAGCAAUGAGAAAUAGUAACGGGUAUAGUAAUGGAAUUGCUUUUAUCGUACUGGGAACAUGGAAGCCGCUGAUGAUGUGGGAAUAUAGCAAAAAGGAGACGAAAAUAAGGGCAGUACGAAAUAAUGACGGUAGUAGCAAUGAGAAAUAGUAACGGAGAUGGUAAUGGAAUUGCUUUUAUCGUACUGGGAACAUGGAAGCCGCUGAUGAUGUGGGAAUAUAGCAAAGAGGAGACGGAGAUAAGAGUAAUACGUAAUAAUGACGGUAGUAGCAAUGAGAAAUAGUAACGGAGAUGGUAAUGGAAUUGUUUUUAUCGUACUGGGGACAUGGAAGGCGCUGAUGAUGUGGGAAUAUAGCAAAAAGGAGACGAAAAUAAGGGCACUACGUAAUAAUGAUGGCAGUAACAAUGAGAAAUAGUAACGGGUAUAGUGAUGAGGUUCCUUUUAUCGUACUGGGAAUAUGAAAGCCGCUGAUGAUGUGUGAAUAUAGCAAAAAGGAGACGAAAAUAAGGGCAGUAGGUAAUGAUGAUGGCAGUAGCAAUGAGAAAUUUUAACGGGUAUAGUGAUGAGGUUCCUUUUAUCGUACUGGGAAUAUGAAAGGUCCGAUAGUACCCUCGUCUAUAUUCCCUCCUGCCUACGACUUACACUUCUUUCAAGGCGAGUUUGUCUUAUACACACGCACAAAAAAUAAAAAGUUGAAUAAAACAAAAAAUAAAAGAGAAAAUAAAAAAGGUAGAAACGAUAACUGAUAGAUGUGUCAAUUAAGCAGCGGAAGGGAUAGAGGAAUAGCAAUAUGUGAUAGUGAUGAUAAUGAUAAUAAUGAGUAAUAGUGAUUGUAAUAGUUAUAAGUAUGAGAGGCUGAUAUUGUCGUACUGGGAACAUGGAAGGCUCGAUAUUAUGUGUCAAUUAAGCAGCGAAAGGAAUAGAGGAAUAGCAAUAUGUGAUAGUGAUGUUACUGAUAAUAAAAAGUAAUAGUGAUUGUAAUAGUUAUAAGUAUGAGAGGCUGAUAUUGUCGUACUGGGAACAUGGAAGGCUCGAUAUUAUGUGUCAAUUAAGCAGCGAAAGGGAUAGAGGAAUAGCAAUAUGUGAUAGUGAUGAUAGAUAAAUAAUAAUGAUUGUAAUAGUUAUAAGUAUGAGAGGUUGAUGUUGUCGUACUGGGAACAUGGAAGGCUCGAUAUUAUGUGUCAAUUAAGCAGCGAAAGGGAUAGAGGAAU